rnacentral:rRNA from 1 species
UACGUAGGGCGCAAGCGUUGUCCGGAAUUAUUGGGCGUAAAGAGCUCGUAGGCGGCUUGUCACGUCGGGGGUGAAAGCCCGGGGCUUAACCCCGGGUCUGCAUUCGAUACGGGCUGGCUAGAGUGUGGUAGGGGAGAUCGGAAUUCCUGGUGUAGCGGUGAAAUGCGCAGAUAUCAGGAGGAACACCGGUGGCGAAGGCGGAUCUCUGGGCCAUUACUGACGCUGAGGAGCGAAAGCGUGGGGAGCGAACAGG